GCCGCAGUAGCUUAGAGGCAGAGCACUCCCUUGGUAAGGGAGAGAUCGAGGGUUCGAUUCCCUCCUGCGGCACCA
rnacentral:tRNA from 1 species